rnacentral:rRNA from 1 species
GAGUUUGAUCCUGGCUCAGAACGACGCUGGCGGCAGGCUUAACACAUGCAAGUCGAGCGCCCGCAAGGGGAGCGGCAGACGGGUGAGUAACGCGUGGGAAUCUACCCGUUUUCUACGGAAUAACGCAGGGAAACUUGUGCUAAUACCGUAUGUGUCCUUCGGGAGAAAGAUUUAUCGGGAAAGGAUGAGCCCGCGUUGGAUUAGCUAGUUGGUGGGGUAAAGGCCUACCAAGGCGACGAUCCAUAGCUGGUCUGAGAGGAUGAUCAGCCACAUUGGGACUGAGACACGGCCCAAACUCCUACGGGAGGCAGCAGUGGGGAAUAUUGGACAAUGGGCGCAAGCCUGAUCCAGCCAUGCCGCGUGAGUGAUGAGGGCCCUAGGGUUGUAAAGCUCUUUCACCGGAGAAGAUAAUGACGGUAUCCGGAGAAGAAGCCCCGGCUAACUUCGUG